rnacentral:rRNA from 1 species
CCUACGGGAGGCAGCAGUGGGGAAUAUUGCGCAAUGGGGGAAACCCUGACGCAGCAACGCCGCGUGAGUGAUGAAGGCCUUCGGGUUGUAAAGCUCUGUCUUUUGGGACGAUAAUGACGGUACCAAAGGAGGAAGCCACGGCUAACUACGUGCCAGCAGCCGCGGUAAUACGUAGGUGGCAAGCGUUGUCCGGAUUUACUGGGCGUAAAGGAUGCGUAGGCGGAUAUUUAAGUGAGAUGUGAAAUACCCGGGCUUAACUUGGGUGCUGCAUUUCAAACUGGAUAUCUAGAGUGCGGGAGAGGAGAGUGGAAUUCCUAGUGUAGCGGUGAAAUGCGUAGAGAUUAGGAAGAACACCAGUGGCGAAGGCGACUCUCUGGACCGUAACUGACGCUGAGGCACGAAAGCGUGGGUAGCAAACAGGAUUAGAUACC